rnacentral:rRNA from 1 species
CACGUAGGGGGCAAGCGUUGUCCGGAUUUAUUGGGCGUAAAGAGCUCGUAGGCGGCUUAGUAAGUCGGGUGUGAAACCUCCAGGCUCAACCUGGAGACGCCACCCGAUACUGCUGUGGCUAGAGUCCGGUAGGGGAGCGUGGAAUUCCUGGUGUAGCGGUGAAAUGCGCAGAUAUCAGGAGGAACACCAGCAGCGAAGGCGGCGCUCUGGGCCGGUACUGACGCUGAGGAGCGAAAGCGUGGGGAGCAAACAGG